rnacentral:rRNA from 1 species
GUUGGUGCUUCGUCGGAAGGGGUACACCCGUUCUCAUUCCGCACACGGCAGUUAAGCCUUCUAGAGCCGAUGAUACUCUUUAUGGGGAAAGUAGGUAGGCGCCAACA